CUUGUGCCAGCCGCCGCGGUAAUACAGAGGGUGCAAGCGUUAAUCGGAAUUACUGGGCGUAAAGCGCGCGUAGGUGGUUCGUUAAGUUGGAUGUGAAAUCCCCGGGCUCAACCUGGGAACUGCAUUCAAAACUGACGAGCUAGAGUAUGGUAGAGGGUGGUGGAAUUUCCUGUGUAGCGGUGAAAUGCGUAGAUAUAGGAAGGAACACCAGUGGCGAAGGCGACCACCUGGACUGAUACUGACACUGAGGUGCGAAAGCGUGGGGAGCAAACA
rnacentral:rRNA from 1 species